GAAGCCUUUGGUCUCCCUCUUGUCUUUGCUUCUAUCAUACCUCUCUCUCAUCUUGUUAAACCUAGAAAAUAUUACCAUCUACGAACUUAGCGGAAGGAAGAUCCAUUCCGAUAAGGGACAACCAUUUCGGCUAAUAUAAGGGAAUCUCAUAUGUAGGUUAUCGAUAUAUUUCCCGUGUUCGAUGUUGUUCGCUGUUCGCUAUUGUUUCGCUGGAAAAUUGGUUCGUUGCUUCUUCUGUUUUCUUUCAUUGAUUUGAUAGAUAUGAGUCAAGAAAGACCUUUAAAGCCCAAAAGAAAGACAAGCGCAACAUACACAAAACCUGGAACAAUGGCAUCUUUGGCAAACCAAAUAAGGACUUCGUUUAGCCAAAAAUAUGUUGUUCCCGCUAGACAAUCAAACAAAGAGCGGCCUAAUAUUAUUGUAGAGAAUCUGCCAAGAGCAGUAGCCCAUGCACAAACUAGAUCAACCACUUCUGCAAAAUAUGUUGCUCCUGCUAGACAAUCAAACAAAGAGCGUCUGAAUAUCAUCGAAGAGAAUCUGAUAGUGCCACAAUAUUCAGAAGUAACAACCCAUGUACAAACAAGAUCAACCACUCCUACAACACAAGUAAUAGAGGAACAAGUUCAGUUGGAUUCUACAACUCCUAUUGAAGAUGAACAAUGUGAAGAACAAGUUGAAGGCCCUUCUAAUCAAACAAGAAAAAGAGGAAAAACAAAGAUGAAAAGUGUACAUGGACGACAUGAGCGUAAAUUAAUUUUACUUAACAACUUAAAUCAACCCGUCGGUCCUAGUGACGCAGUUGUGACAGAGUUUGGAAGCUUCCUCGGCACAUUGGCAAGGAAUGCGACUCUAUGUCCUCUUGAUAUUUUGGAUUGGAGGAAGAUGUACACAAAAGAGGAUGUAUGAGAAUAUACCAAGGUCUGAACUUCUUAAGUUUUAAUUUUUGAUUGAAAAUCUUUCAUAUUUUCUGCACUAACAGAUUUGACACCAAUUGUAGGAUAAAUAUGAUAUUCCUGAAGCUGCAAAAAAAUAUACUUUGGAAUCAGUUCAAGCUGCCUGGAGAAAGCAUAAGAGUAGAUUGAAAAAAGAUCACUUUGACCCCUAUAGAAGUGAUGAAACUCGAAUGGAACAUAUCCCUAAAGAUGUUCCAGUUUCUCAGUUUAAGGAACUCCUUAGGUAUUGGAACUCUGAGAAACUCUAGAGAAUGUCUAAAACUAACAUUGAGAAUCGGAAAAAGUUGAAGAAUCCUCACACUGCUGGAAAAAGAAGUUUUGCUUUAGUUCGCUCUAAGUUGGAAAAAGACAAGGAAACUUCGGAUCCUUUAUCAGCAAAGGAAGUCUUUGUUGCUACAAGAAAAAGAAAAGUUGGGCGAUCAUACAAGUCCUCGGAUAAAGAUACAACUAGUAAAAUUGCUGAAAUGGAGGAAGUUGAAGCACAACAAAACGAAAAUGGCAAUGAGUCCGUAGAGGCAUUUGCAUCUGUCAUGGGACCUGAACAUUCGGGACGUCUGAGAUUGUAUGGACGAGGGGUUACAAGAACUUCUUUAAGAGGGAAAGUAAGAUAUUUUGAACCAUCUUCAAAUACUUCAAAUUCUAUACAAAAAUUGGAGGAGAAGAUACAAAGAAUGGAGGAAAAAAUUGAGUAACAAAAGGCAACUAUCCGUCAAGAAGUUGUUGUAGAUGUCCUUGCACGUCUUCAGCGUUCAGGAAUUGAUAUUGAUGCUAACAUUAUUCU